rnacentral:rRNA from 1 species
AUUGAACGCUGGCGGCAGGCCUAACACAUGCAAGUCGAACGAGUGGCGGACGGGAGAGUAAUGUCUGGGAAACGGCCCGAUGGAGGGGGAUAACUACUGGAAACGGUAGCUAAAACCGCAUACCUUCGGAUGGGCCCAGAUGGGCUUAGCUAGUGGGUGGGGUAACGGCUCACCUAGGCGACGAACCCUAGCUGGCCUGAGAGGAUGACCAGCCACACUGGAACUGAGACACGGUCCAGACUCCUACGGGAGGCAGCAGUGGGGAAUAUUGCACAAUGGGCGCAAGCCUGAUGCAGCCAUGCCGCGUGUAUGAAGAAGGCCUUCGGGUUGUAAAGUACUUUCAGCGAGGAGGCGUUACUCGCAGAAGAAGCACCGGCUAACUCCGUGCCAGCAGCCGCGGUAAUUC